UUCAUCUUCUUCAGCAUCCCCCUCCUCGUUAUCUUCAUCCUCCUGUCCCUCCUCAUCCUCUUUGACGUAUUCAUCCUCGUCUUCCUCAUCCGCCCCGUUUUCCUCCUCCUCCUCUUCCUCCUCCCCCUCAUCCUUGUAUCUCUCCCUGUCAAACUGCCGUGUGGCUUCAUCGCUAGCUUUCUCCAUCACUCUCUUCUGCAGCGGCUCCUUCACCUCCACCGCUGCUUCUUCCUUCUUCUUCACUUCAUUUUCCGCUCUCUCAUCAGGUUCCUUCUCUCCAUCGCCCUCCUCCUUCUUCUCAGUCUUCUCCUCCUCCGUCUUCUCGCCCUCGCCGUCCUCUUUCUUCCCUCCUCCUUGCACCUCCUGGUCCUCCUCCUCCUUCACUCGUUUCAUCUUCUUGACCAGUUCGUCCAGCUCCUCCUGCUUCUCCUUCCUCUCCCUCUCCUGCUCCGGCUUGUUCUUGCUGUCCAGCUCCUUCAGCUCCUUCUCCACCUUCUCCUUCUCCACCAUCAGCUCCACCUCGUUCUUCCUCCUCUCCUCGAUCCUCUGCUUCUCCAAGUCCUCCACCUUUUCUCCGUCCUUCUUUUUCUCCUGCUUUUUGCUCUUCUCCUCCACCUCCUCCUUCUGCUCACUCUCAGAACCUUUCUGGGUCUGCCUCUCCUUCACCGCUUCGUAUCGCUUCUUUUUCAGCUCUUUCAGCAGUUCUUUGAGCUCCUCGUCAUUCCUCUCCUCUUUUCCUUUCUUGGUGAUCUCCUCGGCCAGCAGCUCCUCAAGCUCCUUGGCUCUUUCGUCCUCAUCAUCCCGUCCUCUGUCUUCAAUCCUCGGCUCCUCCGUCAUCUUAUCCUUGGUGUCAUCAUCCUCUGUCUCCUCAUCUUCUUCUUUUCCUUCUGUCUUUUUACCGGCGUCGCUCACGUCCUUCUCGUCCUUCUCCUCCUUCUCCUCCUCAUCCCUCUGAUCAAAGUCGCUCUCAUCAUCGGCCAGGUUGUAUUCAUAUCGCUCCCUUUCAUCAUCGUGUUCCCUUUCAUCAUCGUGCUCCCUUUCUCUC
ensembl:lncRNA